UACGUAGGGACCGAGCGUUGUCCGGAAUCAUUGGGCGUAAAGGGCGCGUAGGCGGUCGGGUAAGUCUGAUGUGAAAUCUCACAGCUUAACUGUGAAACUGCAUUGGAUACUAUCCGGCUCGAGGAAUGGAGGGGAGACUGGAAUACUUGGUGUAGCAGUGAAAUGCGUAGAUAUCAAGUGGAACACCAGUGGCGAAGGCGAGUCUCUGGACAUUUCCUGACGCUGAGGCACGAAAGCCAGGGGAGCAAACGGG
rnacentral:rRNA from 1 species